AGCCCGUCUGGAAACACGGACCAAGGAGUCUUACAAUAAUGCGAGUGUUUGUCAUGGAAUGACGAACGCGCAGCGAAAGCGAAAUAGCUCUUGAACACGAGCGGGGCCUCUCUUUCCUCGGAAGGAGAAUACACUUGAAGCAUUACUGUAGGGACCCGAAAGAUGGUGAACUAUGCCUGAGCAACUUGAAGUCAGGCGAAAGCCUGAUGGAGGAGUGCAAACGGUUCUGACGUGCAAAUCGAUCGUGAGAUUUAGGUAUAGGGGCGAAAGACUAAUCGAACCAUCUAGUAGCUGGUUCCCUCCGAAGUUUCCCCCAGGAUAGCAGGAGCUUGAUUCAGUUUUAUCGGGUAAAGCGAAUGAUUAGAGGUUCGGGGAAUGAAACAUUCUUCACCUAUUCUCAAACUUUAAAUAGGUAAGACGCGCUGGUUGCUUAAUUGAACCAUCGCAAUCAAUGUGAGCUCCUAGUGGGCCAUUUUUGGUAAGCAGAACUGGCGAUGCGGGAUGAACCGAUAGUCGAGUUAAGGUGCCUAACUACGCACUAACCUAGAUCCCACAAAGGGUGUUGAUUGAUAUAGACAGCAGGACGGUGGCCAUGGAAGUCGGAAUCCGCUAAGGAGUGUGUAACAACUCACCUGCCGAAUCAAUUAGCCCCGAAAAUGGAUGGCGCUGAAGUGCGUGACCUAUACUCGGCCAUGGAAGCAAGUGCGACGCUUCCAUGAGUAGGAGGGCGUGGGCGUCGUUGCGCAGCCUGGGGCGUGAGCCUGGGUGAAACGGCGUCUAGUGCAGAUCUUGGUGGUAGUAGCAAAUAUUCAAAUGA
rnacentral:rRNA from 1 species